rnacentral:rRNA from 1 species
AUUGAACGCUGGCGGCAGGCCUAACACAUACAAGUCGAGCGGCAGCGGGAAAGUAGCUUGCUACUUUUGCCGGCGAGCGGCGGACGGGUGAGUAAUGCCUGGGAAAUUGCCCAGUCGAGGGGGAUAACAGUUGGAAACGACUGCUAAUACCGCAUACGCCCUACGGGGGCAAGCAGGGGACCUUCGGGCCUUGCGCGAUUGGAUAUGCCCAGGUGGGAUUAGCUAGUUGGUGAGGUAAUGGCUCACCAAGGCGACGAUCCCUAGCUGGUCUGAGAGGAUGAGCAGCCACACUGGAACUGAGACACGGUCCAGACUCCUACGGGAGGCAGCAGUGGGGAAUAUUGCACAAUGGGGGAAACCCUGAUGCAGCCAUGCCGCGUGUGUGAAGAAGGCCUUCGGGUUGUAAAGCACUUUCAGCGAGGAGGACAGGUCAGUAGCUAAUAUCUGCUAACUGUGACGUUACUCGCAGAAGAAGCACCGGCUAACUCCGUGCCAGCAGCCGCGGUAA